rnacentral:lncRNA from 1 species
CGCCUGUUAAAGACGACCCUCCUUUUUCUUCUCCAAGCUAAAUAUCACCAGUUUCCACAACUCUUUGUUUUAUAGCCCUCAGCAUUCUGGUUAUCCACUCUGGAGAGGCAACAGAAGUAUCCAGUUGCAGUCUGAACAGGCAGAACCAUGGAUGCAGAUGGAAAAUCCAGGUUUGUGUGCUUCGGCAGUCUGUGUAUUCAAACCGUGAUUGUGACAGCUGCUGACAUGACCUCAGACACGCAGGAAGGUUUGGGUUUGCUGCUGAUCAUCUUUCUUUGGUGUUUUCACAGCCUUUACAUAGACGCUUUUUUGAUGUAAAACCCCACGCUGCAGUCCUUGUCAUCAGUGUUAUAUUUCUCCUCAACUCUCCUGGAGACUUCCUGAGAGCUGGCUUGUGGAACAGAGAAGCCACUGGAAGCUGGAUGUGGAGCAAGGAUGGGUGAGACGAAGGUAUUCCACAUAAAGCCAUACAUUAAGGGCUGGCCCCAUGGCCGAGUGGUUAAGUUCGCGUGCCCUGCUUCGGCGGCCCAGGGUUUCACUGGUUCGGAUCCUGGGUGUGGACAAGACACCGCUCAUCAGGCCACGCUGAGGCGGCGUCCUGCAUGCCACAACUAGAAGGAUCCACAACUAAAAAUACACAACUAUGUACUAGGGGGCUUUGGGGAGAAAAAGGAAAAACAAAAUCAUAUAUAUUCAUUAGAUUGGAAUUGUAUUGUGUAUAGUUCCAUGUUCCACCUUUUUUGUGUGAAAUUGUAAGUGUUUUGUGAGAAGGAGGGACUGUUUUUAAUGCAAAAGAAACUCUAGAAAACUUUUUCCUUAGGAAAAAAAAAAGCACAAAGCCCAGUCUGUGGUGGUUGGGAGGACAUCCUGAGGGCUGCCGGUCCGUCCGUCCGGUGUGAGCUCCAAGGCUGUGGCUCAGAGAAAGACAAGCCUUUCUCGCCUCUCCUGGCCAGGCUGCAGCCUCCUGCCUGUGGGCAAGACCGAGUUGCUGAGUCUGCACUCACCCUUCCUUCCUCAGCACAGGAUGUGUGAUCAUCCACUCCAUCCAAAGGCAGAUGGGGUUGUGGUCGUUAUUGUUUAUUAAUAACAAGGGCAUCUCAGUCUGUGCAGCACAGUGUUUUCUCAUGUGUUAUCUCAACUGAGACUCACGCUGUGAGGCAGAUAAGACAAGAGCUGUUACACCCAUUGUUCAGAUACAGAAACGAAGGCUACAAGAAAUCAAGUGGCUAAUUUGAGGCCACAAAGCUAGUAAGUAGCAG